rnacentral:sRNA from 1 species
CGGGUACUGCCCUUCCCGUGCCGGGGUCAAAUUCCGGUGGCCUUAAAUACUUCCGAGGGAGCUGGCUCUGACCGGACCGUGGUCCGGCUACCUGGUGCCCACCUGUGAAAACGGGUCCUCGGGAAUUUAGUUGCCCCUACGGUUGCGGUGGUCCCGUC